rnacentral:lncRNA from 1 species
UACAAGAAGCUGGAGGUUGAGAUGAUUUUGUAGUUGAAUUGAAUGUCACUUCUUCUCAGCAGAGCGAGGAAUGGGGGAGACUUAGGGAAAGAAUUCGUUCGGUCUGAGGCGAAUUGUAAUUAAGACAUCUAAUGCCUUAACUUUUCUUUUUGUAACUUCGUAUUAACUUUCCUCUUGUAACCUCGUACUGAUAGUCAUUGCCAAUUUUGAAUGUAACAGCAGCCAUUGUCAUUAAUGAACGACUAAUUGG